rnacentral:rRNA from 1 species
UACGUAGGGUCCAAGCGUUAAUCGGAAUUACUGGGCGUAAAGCGUGUGCAGGCGGUCUCGCAAGCCCGAUGUGAAAUCCCCGGGCUUAACCUGGGAACUGCGUUGGAAACUACGAGGCUCGAGUGCGGCAGAGGGGGGUGGAAUUCCAGGUGUAGCAGUGAAAUGCGUAGAUAUCUGGAGGAACACCGAUGGCGAAGGCAGCCCUCUGGGUCAGCACUGACGCUCAUACACGAAAGCGUGGGGAGCAAACAGG